GCACACCUCCCUUCCCAGUACUAAACCUUUAUUAUCCUCUUAUCCCAUUAAGAGAGUACUUAAGGGUUUUCAGACAUUUAACUUCACUCAAACCCCAAAACAACUACUUAUUGAUAGUUUCAAGUUACAAGCAAUCUCAGACUAACUGGACACGACCCCCUUCGAACAACAUACUAAUGUUGUCAUCAAAGCAGCUACAAAGUUUUUA